rnacentral:sRNA from 1 species
AGCCUAAACCGUGCGUGAGCGCGGCAUGGCAAUAAAGCCAAGCAGGAUACUGAACCCGUCGUUCAGCAAUCCUGCUUGGUCGUAUCCCGAAAGGGUUACGUUCCCCGCAAGGGGAA